rnacentral:misc_RNA from 1 species
AAUUCUCAACUCUCUUAUACUUUGUUGUAAAGGAGAGCUUGGAUUGUGGGGGCUUGCUGGCCACUUAUUGGGGUCAGCUCCUCUGAAAUGCAUUAGCGGAACUGUUUGCGAUCUGCCACAAGUGUGAUAAAUUAUCUACACUAGCGAGGGGAUUGCUCUCUGUGUUCAGCUUCUAAUCGUCUUAAGGACAAAUUUUGAAU